rnacentral:rRNA from 1 species
AGAGUUUGAUCAUGGCUCAGAUUGAACGCUGGCGGCAGGCUUAACACAUGCAAGUCGAGCGGAAACGAUGAAAAGCUUGCUUUUCAGGCGUCGAGCGGCGGACGGGUGAGUAAUGCUUGGGAAUAUGCCUUAUGGUGGGGGACAACAGUUGGAAACGACUGCUAAUACCGCAUAACGUCUACGGACCAAAGGGGGGGAUCUUCGGACCUCUCGCCAUUUGAUUAGCCCAAGUGAGAUUAGCUAGUUGGUAAGGUAAUGGCUUACCAAGGCGACGAUCUCUAGCUGGUUUGAGAGGAUGAUCAGCCACACUGGGACUGAGACACGGCCCAGACUCCUACGGGAGGCAGCAGUGGGGAAUAUUGCACAAUGGGCGAAAGCCUGAUGCAGCCAUGCCGCGUGUGUGAAGAAGGCCUUCGGGUUGUAAAGCACUUUCAGUAAGGAGGAAAGGGGUGUAGUUAAUAACUGCAUCCUGUGACGUUACUUACAGAAGAAGCACCGGCUAACUUCGUGCCAGCAGCCGCGGUAAU